UGAUAAAGUAGAGAACAAGGAAUACAAGAUGAAAGCAUGUGAUAGAUCUAUUGUGAAUUGACUGUAUGUUCAUCAAAUGAGAGAACAAAUGGAGCACUUUCAAAAUCAGAAAAAGCAAAGCAAUAAAGAAGUACUGAAUUUUCUGGUGAUAAACUAAGAAGAAGGAGCAAAUAUGAACACAUGUGAUACUUGAAGAAGAGAAAAUUAUUCUUGUGCAAGGAGCUUGAUAUAUUUUAAUCUUCUCUGAAAAAAAUGAUGCAAAGAAGAGUCCAACAAUUAGAUUUAUUUUCUUGUCAAAUAGACAAAGGUGAAAAUGAAUUAGGGCUUUGUACUCGUAUCUUCUUUGAUCCAGCAGAUGAGGAUGAAAAGGAUCCAGGUGUUUUUAUUACUGAAAUUGCUGAAGGGGGUGCAGCCCACAAACUUGGAUGUAUCCAUUUAUUUGACCAGAUUAUUAAAAUAGGUGAAACCAAUCUAAUUGGAUUAGAUGAAGAAGAAAUCUUCUCUACUUUUAAAAAAAUGGAAAAUUGUGUUUUCCGGAUUGAAAUUGGACGAGAGCCACCUGAAGUCAAGACAGAACUCAUCAUACUCCUUGAAUUGUCAGAGGAAAGGAAGAAAUUUUUUACAGAUUCAGUCAUAGUUCAGGAAAAAGUUGGAGAUAUCAAAAUUGUGAAAGGAAAAGCAAGAAAUUCUAAAACUCCGAAAAUAUCAUGGCUCUGGAUCACCAGAGAACUGGAAUUAAAAAAUGAAGAGAUGGAAUUGAAAAGAAUAAUAGAAGAAGAAGGUCAGAAAUAUAAAAAAGACCUCAAGGAAAUUGAUGAAAGGACUAACAACUUGAUAGAGAAACUUAAAAAAUACGUGAACAUAUCUGAAGUGAAUAUCGGAAAUCAGCCUGAGGAGACAGUAAAAGAAGAUAUAACAAUAGGGCAAUUAUUGGCCGCAGAGGAUAUCAGUUUAGAUAUCACAAUUAAAAAAGAACCAGUAGAAGAAUUAGUAGAAGAGGAGAUCAGCAGUGGCAAACCUGCAAUGGGAAAAGCUAUAAUGCAGUUUUCCUGGUUUUGCAAUGUCCAAGGAUACAAUUGGAGGAACUUCUUUUGUUUUAAAAAACAUGAUAAACAAGUAAAGAAUGUGCGCAAGCAGGAAGAAACUGACCUAAAGCUGCUGGUGUCUGACUGGACAGAAACUCAAGUUGGCCAUUGGUUAAAGAGUAUUGGAAUGAAAAAAUAUAUCCUGAAAUUUGAUUAUAAAAGAAUAAGAGGUCAAGAACUUCUUGAAUUAGACAAUGAUGCAUUAAAAUGCAUUGGCAUCACUAAGAAGAGAGAUCGCAAGAAAAUCCUUAAGGGAAUUAAGAAAAUUCAACAGACAGAAAAAAAUUAAUACAAUCUAACAAUUAAAUAUAUCAAAAAGAUAAUUCUGGAAGAUACAGCAAAAAUGAGAAAAAUAUAAUUACAUGAUAUUUACCUUUAAUCUACUACUUCAACAUAUUAUUGAAACCUUCUGAUUCUUCUGCCAUGAAUCUAGCACACAUUUACUGAGGAGCAGUGAUGGAUGGAAUGACCAUAUAAGCCAAGAGAUUUUGGUGGACCACUGAUCAAGGUGUUCCAAAGAUGAUCAUUCAUUCACUCAUUUCUGCCUUAGCCUGAAAAAGAGCAUCCUGUUUGUUGCACUCUGGAUUCCUUUUUUAUCUUUGGUCCUAGGCUUUUCAGCCUUUGUCUACCAAUUCUUAUGUUGUGUAUACUUUAGAGAAUAAUUACCAUGAUGUAUAUCCCCAAUUAAUUCACUAUGCAAUUUUGAAAAUAAAAACUCUGUCUGCUCUUUGAUGCCUACCUUC
rnacentral:lncRNA from 1 species